rnacentral:rRNA from 1 species
GACGAACGCUGGCGGCGUGCUUAACACAUGCAAGUCGAACGAUGAAGCGGCCAGCUUGCUGGUGGUGGAUUAGUGGCGAACGGGUGAGUAACACGUGAGUAACCUGUCCUUCACUCUGGGAUAAGCCCUGGAAACGGGGUCUAAUACUAGAUAUUCUCAAUGUGCCGCAUGGUGUGUUGUGGAAAGAUUUUUUGGUGAGGGUUGGACUCGCGGCCUAUCAGCUUGUUGGUGGGGUAGUGGCCUACCAAGGCUUUGACGGGUAGCCGGCCUGAGAGGGUGACCGGCCACACUGGGACUGAGACACGGCCCAGACUCCUACGGGAGGCAGCAGUGGGGAAUCUUGCGCAAUGCGCGAAAGCGUGACGCAGCAACGCCGCGUGGGGGAAGACGGCCUUCGGGUUGUAAACCCCUUUCAGGAGGGACGAAGGUUCACCGGUGAAUAGCCGUGUGGAUUGACGGUACCUCCACAAGAAGCUCCGGCUAACUACGUGCCAGCCGCCGCAGUAAAAC